rnacentral:tRNA from 1 species
CUGGGUAUAGCUCAGUAGGUAGAGCGCGUGAUUUGGGAUCACGAGGUCGCUGGUUCGAGACCAGCUACUCAGACCA